UGACCCGGCGGGAGCGAUAA
rnacentral:misc_RNA from 1 species